GCGUUUUGAUUUUUACCCUCCCCCGACAUGAUUAAACCAGGUGGCACGCGCGAUACGCCAGGACACGUACCGACCGUACGAGCAUCACGGGGGGCCAGUAAAACAUUUCCGUGAAAGAAGAAAGUUAAUGGACGCCAAAGCGUUUCUCCAAUCCAGUCGAGCUCUGCAAAAACCCCGGUUUUCUUUAGGGUUUCUAGUCUCGUUCGGUUUGUUAAUUCAUUUCUUGCUUAAGCGAAUCCUUUCUUCGUCGAUCGGCCGGCGAUGGAGGAGCGAGCCUGAAUCUCGAAUGCCGAUCGCUGGGUGAGAAGGCCGCCAGAUUUCCAUCCGGAAUGGCGUGUAUGAAGCUCGGAUCCAAGGCGGACGGCUUCCAGAGAAGGGGGCAGGCAUGGUUUUGCACGACGGGACUUCCGAGCGACAUCGUCAUCGAGGUGGAGGAGAUGACGUUCCACCUCCACAAGUUCCCGCUCAUGUCCAGGAGCGGCAGAUUGACGCGGCUAGUCGCCGAGCUCCUAGAUGACGACGCGGGCGAUGGAAAUCGAAUCGUUCUUCCUGGCGUCCCCGGCGGCGCCGAGACCUUCGAGCUCGCCGCCAAGUUUUGCUACGCCGUCAAGGUGGAGCUCACUUCGGCCAAUGCGGUGGCGCUGAGGUGCGCCGCCGAGUACCUGGAGAUGACCGAGGAGUAUGUGGAAGGGAACCUUAUCGCCAAGAUCGAUAGUUUCCUCAACCAGGUGGUUCUCAAGAGCUGGAAGGACUCGGUCCGGGCGCUCCAGAGCUGCGAGGACGUGUUCCAGCAGGCCGAGGAACUCGGGAUCGUCAAACGAUGCAUCGACUCCAUCGCCAGCAAAGCUUGCACCGAUCCAGCGCUGUUUGGGUGGCCGGUGAUGGAGCAGAGCGGCUCAAUGCAGAGUCCCGGGGGGAGUGUUCUCUGGAACGGGAUAAGCACAGGGGCAAAGCCGAAGAACCCGAGGUCGGAUUGGUGGUAUGAGGAUGUUUCGCUGCUCAGUCUUCCGCUCUACGAGAGGGUGAUCUCUGCAAUGGAGGCCAAGGGGAUCCGGGGGGACGCGAUCGCGGGAGCGCUCAUGUACUAUGCAAAGAAACAGCUCCCGGGACUAAGUCGGAGACAGGACGGGCGAGAAAGUGGGAACUUGUCCAUCGUUCCGGUGACGAAUGCUCCAUCGGAGAACGAGCAAAAGGUGCUCUUGGAGACGAUUGAGAGCUUGCUGCCCCUCCAGAAAGGCGUCGUCUCGACCAGGUUCCUGUUCGGCCUGCUCCGGAUUGCGAUGAUUCUUUCGGCUAAUGCGGACUGCAAGAGCAGCCUCGAGAGGAGGAUCGGCCAGCAGAUGGAACAGGCAAGUCUCGACGAUCUCCUCAUGCCCAAUUACUCGUACACAGUGGAGACGCUGUAUGACAUCGAUACGGUACAGCGGAUACUUGACCAUUUUCUUAUGAUGGACCAAGCUCGUGCAACCUCUUCGUCGAUUCAGUCCUUCGAAGAUGGCCCGUUGAUCGGGUCGCCGCAGCUGAGUCCGAUGAUGAUGGUGGCCAAGCAGAUGGAUAACUAUCUCGCCGAGGUUGCCCCGGAUGUCAACUUGAAGCCGGCCAAGUUCCAAUCGCUCGCAGAAUGUCUACCAGAGUACGCCAGACUUAUGGACGAUGGGCUGUACAGGGCGAUCGAUAUUUAUUUGAAGGCACAUCCAUGGCUUUUGGAGCACGAGCGAGAGCGCAUCUGCCGAAUUAUGGACUGCCAAAAGCUCUCCCUGGAGGCGUGCACUCAUGCGGCACAGAACGAGCGGCUGCCACUCCGGGUGGUGGUGCAAGUCCUCUUUUUCGAGCAGCUCCAGUUGCGGACCGCCAUCGCCGGCUGCUUCCUUGUUGCCGACAACGUCGAUCAGUCGAGGCCCCUGCGCUCCUCGCACCUGGUGGAAAACGCUGGCGGCGUUGGUCACUCGAGCUUGCAAAACGGCUGGGCCAGCGUCAUCCGCGAGAACCAGGUCCUCAAGGUGGACAUGGACAGAAUGAGGAGCCGGGUGGUGGAGCUUGAGAAGGAAUGCACGACGAUGCGGCAGGAGAUUGAGAAGCUGGGAAAGGGGGGAAAGGGGCCGUUUGGGCUGGUUUCUCGACGCUUCGGUUGCAAGACAGCCAAGAGCCAGGUCUCCAACUCACACGAGAAGGUGGAGCCGGGGGUGCCAUUCUCGGCAGAGAUUUCAGCGAAGCAGACGAUGAAGCAGCAAGGCCAACAUAACCGCAGCGCCUCCAGCGCUCACUGACUCUAAACGACGCAACUUCUAAGAUAUUAUUUUUUUCUCCUCUCCUGUACUGCGUGAAGAAGACUGGGAUGAUGUAACAUAUAACAAUAGUCAGUCCGCCUGUGAGGGCUUGUCGCUGGUUUGCUUGGAAAUUUGCAGCCUUUCUCUUGUUCGAAUGCUUGCAUUUGCCGUGCUUUUCUGGCGUGGAGUGCAUGUGGAAGGAGUGCCUCUCCUGUUUGCUCUCAUGCAUUUUUCUAUGCUGCUUGCAUUGAAAGCGAGAAAGUAUAUCGAUUAAGCCGACGUGCGGUUAUGUGUGCCAUUGUUUUCUUCCUUGUCGCAUUGCGUACGUGAUGCAGCUGCAGAGCAGCAUACAAGACUGCGCGGGGAUUGACCGACUGAGCUUUUGUUCUCCUUUUUCUUCUCAUGGAUGCAGCUGUAGGCCACAUUUUCACAUUUGUUAAUGUUUCGCAACAACCACUGGAAAACUGCCCGAAAACAAGACUAUGCAAUGUGACCUGCACUGCCCGGGAAUCGAACCCGGGUCUGUUCCGUGGCAGGGAACUAUUC